rnacentral:rRNA from 1 species
UACGUGGGGUGCAAGCGUUGUCCGGAAUUAUUGGGCGUAAAGAGCUCGUAGGCGGUCUGUCGCGUCGGCUGUGAAAACCCGAGGCUCAACCUCGGGCCUGCAGUCGAUACGGGCAAACUAGAGUACUGCAGGGGAGACUGGAAUUCCUGGUGAUAGCGGUGAAAUGCGUAGAGAUGUGGAGGAACACCAGUGGCGAAGGCGGACUCUCUGGGCCUUACCUGACGCUCAGGUGGCGAA